rnacentral:misc_RNA from 1 species
UGCAAUUUUUGAUUACGAUAAGCCCCAAAAGGCUAGCAAUCUUUACACAUCUUCAUUCUUCAGUCAACGACAAUUAAUUAAUGCAAUGGGGAACUGGCAAUUAGAAGUCGCUAAAAUGGUGUUGUACAUGGCAUUUCCAGUGGGUAUGUUUCACUACUUUAACCAGCCAGAAGUUUAUGAAAAUUGGGUCACAAAAACGAAACGUGAAAUCUACCCCAUGGUCAACAAAGAAGAGGAUGAGGCGUUGAGACGAAAAAUUAGGGAAAUACGUGAAAAACAGGACGCUAAGGCUUUUGAGGUGCUGGAAUCUAGUUUAAAUAAAUAGGUUCUUUGAAGCUGUUUUUCUUCAAAAUACUUUUCUAAAAAGCCGAUGAGUUUCAAAUAUGAAGUAAUGUUUAUCGUUGCUGAUAGGAAGUGCAAAUUCGUAGCUGACAGGGAAGUUCGAUGUUAUUUUUGUACAUCAUUCUCAUGCAAACCGGACUAUGCUGGCGGUAUAAAGGGAUCGGUGCAUUCACCAACGGGCUGUUCCAACCGAGGCUCAGACUCUAUAAUAAAUCAAUAACCUGAUGUUUCAAUAAGCCAACGAUGAUGCAUGCCCAGCCUCCGAGAACUCAGACAAUUUAUUAACCCUUGAAGCCGAACAGAUUUUCCAAUAUAGAUUUCUGUAAUAAGUAAGUAUGUGAAUAAAAAAUCAUUUUUCAGCAUUUAUUCAUAGUAGCAUAAUUUCUUUUUUUUAAUCCAUAUUAUUUUAUUGUGUUAAUCCCGAAAUAUAAAAGACUUAUAAGACUAAAAUGAACAGCUGUAUUUCAUAAAAAUUGUAUGAAUUUCUACAUAUUAAUUAUAUUGAUCAUAUGUACAUAUGUACAAAAUAGAGAUUUAUGGGAUUGAGUUAUUGUAACAAUGCAUGUUAAGAAAAUCCAUUAUUUCAUAGCCAAUGUAUAAUUUGAAAUUCAGUAAACCAUGAUAAAGUAAAGUAUGGUAAUAUUUUACAAACUUGACUUCUACAAAGUCAAUCUGUAAUUGCAAAAUAAUGAUUUUUUACCUAACGGUUCAUGUAACGUUAACUUUAUUAACUUCAACUUCAUAGAUAUUUCACAUGCAUCAGCUAUCUGUACUUACUUUAGAAAAAUUAUUUGUAUAAUUAAAAUUUAAAUAUUGCUUCACGUCCUGUAUUAUGUGUGCUACCUAACUUCGUCCAACAAAUGAAAACCUUUAUUCAUAUGUUUUGUGAUUUGCUACAGUCAAUAAAUACCUCAGAGUACUUCGAGAAUUGAAAAUCAUUUGUGUAUAUAGGCGAUGAUAGUUCUAACUGACUACAGGUAUUAUUGCAGUACUUUCAUUGGUAUAUGGAAUUAUUAGACAGACAUGAAAUUUAUUGCAAAAUCUAUUUUUAG